GGGGGCGAAACGGAUUCGACGGGGAUAUGUAAGCUUGAAGCCGCAUGUCGAGGUUCUAUCUGCUCGUAAAACAGGUGGAAACAAUUAUAAUCGCCGACGAUUAUAACUACGCUGUAGCAGCUUAAUAACCUGCUCGGCCGUCCUCCUGGUCCUUCCCACGGGGCCAGAUCAGGGCGUCGAUUAGUGGGAUAACUCCUUGGGUGCGCCUGCCGACCAAGGGGUGAAACUUAGCAGGAUAGCGCCACUGAGACCCCGUUCCGAGGGGCUCUGCGGGGCGAAAUUUAAAUUCGGAACUAAACAUGUAGAAGCGCAAGUAGAGUAUUUUCGGACGCGGGUUCGACUCCCGCCGCCUCCACCA
rnacentral:tmRNA from 1 species